rnacentral:rRNA from 1 species
GUUUGAUCCUGGCUCAGAACGAACGCUGGCGGCGUACUUAACACAUGCGAGUCGGACGAGAAAGGAGACUUCGGUCUCUGAGUACAGUGGCGCACGGGUGCGUAACACGUAAGUAAUCUACCCCAAACCCUGGGAUAACCCUCCGAAAGGAGGGCUAAUACUGGAUAGGGUCCCCGAGGUAUAGGCUGCGGGGGGAAAACGGGCCUCUGUUUUAUGCUCGUGGUUCGGGAUGAGCUUGCGGCCCAUUAGCUAGUUGGUAAGGUAAUGGCUUACCAAGGCAACGAUGGGUAGCUGGUCUGAGAGGAUGAUCAGCCACACUGGCACUGAGACACGGGCCAGACUCCUACGGGAGGCAGCAGUGGGGAAUUUUGCGCAAUGGGCGAAAGCCUGACGCAGUAACGCCGCGUGGAGGAUGAAGGCCUUCGGGUUGUAAACUCCUGUCAGGAAGAACGACGGGGAAAGGGCCAUA